ensembl:lncRNA
CCUAUUGACAGGCUAGUCAUGUGCAGAAGAAAGCACUGUUCAGAGACAAAGGCAGAAUACCAAGGAAUGUUAUCCACCCUUCUCCAUUUUAUAAAUCCCUGUUGGUCGCUACGGUCAGACUUUUGCCUUUGACGUAUUCCUGCUUUUCACCCCACAUCAGGUUCACUUGCUCCACAAGGCAAAAGGAGGUUCUGAAGUUACUUGGAAAGACACGAUAAACCCUUUCAUCUUCCAAGUUUUCGUGCCCUGAAGAUCUGAGCCUGACACGAGAGCUGCCAGCAAGAAUAGCAAAAGCAAAGUUUCCAGCUGUGGAAGAUCUUCAUUCAAGAACUUGCCCUCACAAACCAUCACACUUCUUUAAAUUGGGAGUGGGAUGUGGGUGCUUCCAAGUGGAUGACCUAACUCAAGCAAGAAACUCUUCUGACCCAUUCUCAUCCUUUGAAGUCCUCUCUCACGUAUGGAGAGACCUAUGGGAGGGAGAGCCUCUCUGCUCUGCAGGAACAGUGGAAUCAGUUGUGAAUGUUGCAGAAACAGUUGGCUUAGGCUUCCCAACAUGCCAUCUGUGAGCAAACAGAUUUUUUAGAUGACUGAUUCCA